rnacentral:rRNA from 1 species
UACGUAGGGGGCAAGCGUUGUCCGGAUUUAUUGGGCGUAAAGAGCGUGUAGGCGGUUUGGUAGGUCCGCUGUGAAAACUCGAGGCUCAACCUCGAGACGCCGGUGGAAACCAUCAGGCUAGAGUCCGGAAGAGGGAGAGUGGAAUUCCUGGUGUAGCGGUGAAAUGCGCAGAUAUCAGGAAGAACACCCGUGGCUAAGGCGGCUCUCUAGUACGGUACUGACGCUGAGACGCGAAAGCGUGGGGAGCGAACAGG